AAUGUCUUAAACGGUAGAAUCUUUUUCUUGCAGAUCCUCUGGGGAUCAUCGGAAAAAUCCUUGUCUAAUUUGGGUUGCAACCAUGGGGAUGGAAACCACUGCUUUAGAAGCUGGAGCAGUGCAGCCUCUGCUAUAAACAUAGCACGACCGUCCCACUUAAGGAUGUGGAUAAACGGGGAUGAAAAAGGAAAGGAGAAAAGCCCAAGCAAAAUUAGUUGAGGCAAGGGCACAGGUCCAGGGUUGGGAUUUCCACUACAUAGGACCAGUCUCUCCUUAGCCCCCUACGACAAUGGGGAACUAAGGCGUGAAUUUGACUUCUGAAUAACUUCUGACCCAGUUUGACAGGUUCAUCUGCUACCCAGAUGAACCUGUGGAAUGCACCUGUGAGGGAUAAUGACUUCCGAGUUGGAAACCUGAGACUCGGAUGAUUUUGUAAGAAUAUUGGAACCGGACCAAUAAACUGCUACAUCAUAUGACUUGUCCUGGUCAGCAUGCUGUUACUGUUGCAAGGGCUACCCUAUGGCAACGGUGGAUUAGGGCCAGGCAUCUACUUCGAUGUGCCAUGCUUUAAUAAAUGCAAAUAUUC